rnacentral:rRNA from 1 species
GGCCAUCAUCAGUUUUGGGGACCGGUCAAAGGCCCCGGGAAUGUAUCGUCUCCUUCGGGGGACGACUUAUAGCCCGGGGUGUCAUGCGGCCUUCCGGGACUGAGGAACGCGCUUCGGCGAGGAUGAUGGCGUAAUGGUUGUCAGCGA